UGCGUAGGUGGUACGUUAAGUUAGCUGUGAAAUACCUGGGCUUAACCUGGGCAGGUCAGCUAAGACUGGCGGACUCGAGUAUGGGAGAGGGUAGUGGAAUUUCCGGUGUAGCGGUGAAAUGCGUAGAGAUCGGAAGGAACACCAGUGGCGAAGGCGGCUACCUGGCCUAAUACUGACACUGAGGCACGAAAGCGUGGGGAGCAAACA
rnacentral:rRNA from 1 species